rnacentral:rRNA from 1 species
GGCGUGCUUAACACAUGCAAGUCGAACGGAAAGGCCCUGCUUUUGUGGGGUGCUCGAGUGGCGAACGGGUGAGUAACACGUGAGUAACCUGCCCUUGACUUUGGGAUAACUUCAGGAAACUGGGGCUAAUACCGGAUAGGAGCUCCUGCUGCAUGGUGGGGGUUGGAAAGUUUCGGCGGUUGGGGAUGGACUCGCGGCUUAUCAGCUUGUUGGUGGGGUAGUGGCUUACCAAGGCUUUGACGGGUAGCCGGCCUGAGAGGGUGACCGGCCACAUUGGGACUGAGAUACGGCCCAGACUCCUACGGGAGGCAGCAGUGGGGAAUAUUGCACAAUGGGCGGAAGCCUGAUGCAGCAACGCCGCGUGCGGGAUGACGGCCUUCGGGUUGUAAACCGCUUUCGCCUGUGACGAAGCGUGAGUGACGGUAAUGGGUAAAGAAGCACCGGCUAACUACGUGCCAGCAGCCGCGGUGAUACGUAGGGUGCGAGCGUUGUCCGGAUUUAUUGGGCGUAAAGGGCUCGUAGGUGGUUGAUCGCGUCGGAAGUGUAAUCUUGGGGCUUAACCCUGAGCGUGCUUUCGAUACGGGUUGACUUGAGGAAGGUAGGGGAGAAUGGAAUUCCUGGUGGAGCGGUGGAAUGCGCAGAUAUCAGGAGGAACACCAGUGGCGAAGGCGGUUCUCUGGGCCUUUCCUGACGCUGAGGAGCGAAAGCGUGGGGAGCGAACAGGCUUAGAUACCCUGGUAGUCCACGCUGUAAACGGUGGGUACUAGGUGUGGGGUCCAUUCCACGGGUUCCGUGCCGUAGCUAACGCUUUAAGUACCCCGCCUGGGGAGUACGGCCGCAAGGCUAAAACUCAAAGGAAUUGACGGGGCCCCGCACAAGCGGCGGAGCAUGCGGAUUAAUUCGAUGCAACGCGUAGAACCUUACCUGGGUUUGACAUGGAUCGGGAGUGCUCAGAGAUGGGUGUGCCUCUUUUGGGGUCGGUUCACAGGUGGUGCAUGGCUGUCGUCAGCUCGUGUCGUGAGAUGUUGGGUUAAGUCCCGCAACGAGCGCAACCCUUGUUCACUGUUGCCAGCACGUUAUGGUGGGGACUCAGUGGAGACCGCCGGGGUCAACUCGGAGGAAGGUGGGGAUGACGUCAAGUCAUCAUGCCCCUUAUGUCCAGGGCUUCACGCAUGCUACAAUGGCUGGUACAGAGAGUGGCGAGCCUGUGAGGGUGAGCGAAUCUCGGAAAGCCGGUCUCAGUUCGGAUUGGGGUCUGCAACUCGACCUCAUGAAGCCGGAGUCGCUAGUAAUCGCAGAUCAGCAACGCUGCGGUGAAUACGUUCCCGGGGCUUGUACACACCGCCCGUCAAGUCAUGAAAGUUGGUAACACCCGAAGCCGGUGGCCUAACCGUUGAGGGGGAGCCGUCGAAGGUGGGACUGGUGAUU